rnacentral:lncRNA from 10 species
UGAGGAGAAAAAAAAAAUCGAUUCCUGGCUAGGGCACUGUCUGUGUCUAGGGCACUCCUCAUGUCUAUGUGAGUUUUCUUGGGUACUCUGGUUUCCUCUCACAUUCCAAAGCUGUGCAUGUUAGGUAAACUGGUUUGGCUAAAUGGUCCCGCUUGGAAUUAGCAUGAGUGAAUGCGUGUAUGUGCUCGUCGGUGGGAUGGCAUUCUGUCCAGGGUGGGUUCCUGCCUUGCACCCUGAGCUGCCAGGAUAGGCUUUGGCCACCUGUGACUCUAAAUUAGAAUAGGCAGGUUGGAAAAUAAAUAGAUGAAUGAGCAAAUGAAUACAAAUUAUUGUCAAAUAAAAAUGUGUAAAGUAGAUGAUAAUCAUACAAAUGUACAACAAUAAAUGAUGCAAAAUGAAAGUGCUCAGGGGGCCGGCCAUAAUCGUUAUUAUUUGGUUUUUAUCUGCAUGUUGGUAGGAGCUGUGCCUGACAAUUUUCUCUUUGAAGACCUUUAUCUCUGGAUUUAACCCAUCACCACUACAACUACCAUCACUGAUUGAAUCCCCCAAAUUGGUGCAAUGGUUUACAUUGUUUCUUUUAAGGCAAUGCUAAUGUCUGUGAAAGAAUUAAAGUGAAGAGGCAAUACCUGAAAAAAUAAAAUAUUAUACACAAAUAUUUUGGAUAUCUAAGAGUCACCCUACUAAAAUUCAAUAAGGAAAUGAAGACGCUCAGAGUUUAAGUAACGUCUGUUCAAAGUCACACCUUCUACAUGUGGACAGAGCUCAGUCUGGCUCCAGGAUCUGUGAGCUUACAUGACACAAAAUUGCCUCCUUUAACAGCUGAAAUGUGAAAUGUAUUCUUGCUUGUGUCCUCUCAGUUCUUUCUCUGAAAAUGAAUGUGUUCACUGUACACUUGACCCAAGAAUGGAACAGUAAAUUUACAAAAUGCAAACUUUGCUUUACCAUAAUUCUGCUAACAUAUUCCAUAAAUUCUAAUAAUUAUUAAAAAUAACUUCAUAUAAAUGAUCCAAUGUAAGAGAUUAUAGUUUGUGUAAAGUUCAACAUCUUUGGCUCAAUUUGAAAUAAAACGAACAUGUUAAAAAAAUAAUUUAGUACAUAUAUAACCACUUGAAUGAAUGAUUUUUAAAAAGUUAAAUACAAUGGUGAGAACUUCCAACACCACUCCUUACUCCCCAUUUGUUUCCAAAGUUCCAGAAACCAAAUUUCCAACGAGACAAAAACAUCUCUUACUAGAUGCUUGAAGACACCUUAUAUUCAAUACUUUUAUGGUUUCCCCCAACUUACACUUUCUAAACACAUUUCUGCCUUGUUUCAUGAUGUCACUUAACUAACUCAGAAAGAAAUUAUAUUUUCUUUGACCUCACUCUCUCCCUCAACCUCUUCAAGCCAAUCAGUCACCAUAUUUCACCAUUUCUGUUUUUGAAACAUCUCCUGAUCCCACCACCUUCCUUCCUUCCUAUAACCACCACUCUAGUUCUUAUUGCCAUCUUCUUACCUCCACAUGAUACUUCUAAAGGUAACAGCUCUAACAGGUUGCCUUACCCUCUGGUUUGUCCCUUAUUUAUUCAGUCUCCCACGUAUCUACCAAAGUUCUUUUGUAAAACACAAAAGUACAAAGCUUUUUAAGUUUCCAAUUGUUUAUAACAGAGGUUCUCAAACUUUAAAGGGCAUGAGAUUCAUUUGAAAGGCUUGCUAAGAUACAGAUUGCUGGGGACUCCCCCCUCCCUUUUCUUAUUAAGUGAAACUGGGAAGGGGCCCAGAUAUCUGCAUUUCUUACUAGUUCACAGGUGGUGUUAAUGCUGCUGGGCUAGCAUCACUACUUUUUAGUGUCCCAAUCAGUGCUGUGCAUUAAAACUACUUGGGAUACCUAUGUAACAAACCUGCAUGUUCUGCACAUGAAUCCCAGAACUUAAAGUAUAAAAAAACAAAGAACAACAACAAAAAAGUCUAUUUGGGGAAGUUUUAUAAAAUGACUUGCUGAAUCCUAAACCAAUUAUAUGCGGGCAUUGCUUUUUUGUUGUUUUUAAUCCUCCAGGUGAUUCUGAUUUCCUAAAGUAUGGAGAAUCACUGGUGUUUAGUAAAAAGUUCCAAAUCCUUAACAUGGCAUUUAAGACCACUCACCUGGUGUUUAUGCACUUGCUUUGCCUAAAAAUUCCUAGUAAACGAAUAACAACAAUAAUAAAGUUUGCCUAUCUAAAAGCAUGUAUUCCCAAAUGAUUUUGUGUGAAUUAAAUGAGAUAAUAUAUAGUAAAUGCCCGCCAGUGACUGACACAAAGUCAUGUUUCACAUAAAUGUUAACAUCAAUUCAAUUCAACAAAUACGUUGAGUAUAUUUUUAAUUCAAUUCUACAUAUAUGUAUGACUCACCCUUAAUAUGGAAGAGGCUACAUUCUCUGCUGGGAAUAUCUGGUUAGAUAAGACAGAGAUGGUACCUGUCCUCAGAAAGUGAACAGCACAAAAGUAAUCAGAGUUUAAGGUAAUGAAUACCAAACGUUAGUGACUUUUGUAAUAAGUACUGUACAAGGAGGAGGACAGGGUCAUAUGAGAGCUUACAACAGUGAUACCUAAAUUUUUCCAAGCUUACGGUGCCAAGGAAACCUGAAAUCUAAGGUGUGUGGGUGCAAGGGGGGAAACUGAAAAGCGCAUUCUAGCCCACCAAAACAGCUUGACCCAAUAGCACAUAGGCAGGAGCAGCUUAGGUGUGCUAGGGACAGAAAGGCUGGUAUGAUUGGAGCUUAGAGGUUACACAGGGAGAAGAGGAGCACCAGGUAAGAACAGAGAGAAAGAUGGGGGUAGAUCAGCCGGGCGCGGUGGCUCACGCCUGUAAUCCCAGCACUUUGGGAGUCUGAGGCGGGCGGAUCACAAGGUCAGGAGAUCGAGAACAUACUGGCUAACACGGUGAAACCCCAUCUCUACUAAAAAUGCAAAAUAUUAGCUGGGCGUGGUGGCGGGCGCCUUUAGUCCCAGCUACUUGGGAGGCUGAGGCAGAAUGGCGUGAACCCUGGAGGCGGAGCUUGCAGUGAGCCGAGAUUGCGCCACUGCACUCCAGCCUGGGUGACAGAGCGAGACUCCACCUCAAAAAAAAAAAGAUGGGGGUAGAUCAUGAAGAAUUUUGAACUUGAUCCAAGAGGAGAGGGAAACCAUUCAAGUGUUCUACAAUUAGGUCUUCCUGAGGCUGUCACCCUCCAGCUGGUAUGCUCCCUGACGGCAGGCGCUGGGUUCUAUUCAUCUUCCCCUUUUCCAUUCUAGUUAAGUGGCCCUCAUACUGCUGCAUGCACAUCCCAAGGGAUACUCAAAGACAUUCCAGUAUGCAAACUGGCACAGAGGUAGUUUAAAGAGAAUUAAUUUCUAGAUCUUUGGUCUUCAUAUAUAUUCGUUCCUAAAAUUGUACUGAGACUGAAUUUGGAAUCUGCAAAUUAUUUUCUCCCACCCAGGCCUUCAGGCUUAGUUUUACUAUGAACCUUGUCUUACGGUGGGAAAACUUCAGUGGGGACCAAAUAAAGGGAUGAUUCCAAAUACUGGUGUUGGUAUUGAAAAAAUCAAUGAUUCUAGGCAACACCUUCUAUUGCAACUCAGAUGAGUUUUAACCUUUGCUUUCACUGAAAUUGAAGACAGAUCUAAGCAAUGGUCAUUUAAACUAAUUUAUGGUGAUAGAAAACUGAAUCAUAUUUGUCCCAGGAUAUUCUGGACAUAAUCAAAAUUAUUUAUUGUUUAUUUGAAAUUCAAAUUUAACUGGGCAUCUCUAUUUUUUUUUUUUUUUUGCUAAAUCUGGUAAUACACCCACAUUUUCAUUUUGAACUGGGCCCCACAAACUGUGUAGCUGAUCCUGGUCAUGACAACAAAUAUAAACAUUCAUUUCAUGAGAGAAAUAACUGGGUAAUUAUAUAUGCCACCAGCUAAGAUCAUACUCAAUGAAAAUACCUCUUAUUUGAGUUUUUUUUCUUUCCUGCCCUUGCAACCCCACACAGAAAUACACCCUGACAUACAAUUUUCCUGCCAAGUUUCCAUCUUCAAAGUGUAAAAGUGGUACUGCCAACUGGGAAAUAAAAACUUGAAAAUGAAAGGCCAUUAGCAUCUCAGAUACACCAAAAAUAUGGGGAGUAUAAUAGAAGGAAAGAAAACUUUGAAAAGGCAGAUUUUUCACAAAAGCAAAAUUUCUCAAAAAAAAAAACUGAUUGACAAAAAAGCCAACAUGUUGCCUGUACCAGUUUCACCAGUAAUAAAUAAAAUUACACACACACACACACACACACACACACACACACAGAGAGAGAGAGAGAGAGAGAGAAAUGGAGAAAGGAAGGGAGCAAGUGCUCUGGGUACUUAACUGAUUCUGACUUUUCCACUACCUGGAACUUAAGAACCAAAUAUUGACUUUGGGAAUAUCUCUAAAUCCUAUGACGUGAUUUUCACUUUCAAAUAUUAUGUUUGAAAGAUUUGCAUGUACUUCUCACUUCUCAAUAAACAUAGAUGUUUUCCUUUCAAGUAUCUUUCUAAAACAAGAGCCAAGUUUUUUCCUUCUCCUCUAUAGCUGUCAAUCAUAUUUAUUAUUUGUAUCUAUUUCAAACUCAUUUUGCAAUAAAGGAUUUCAAAAUCUUCUCUCCUUCCUCUGGGGGGAAAACAAAGGGUGAAACAAACAAGGAAGAUGACUUUGUAUAAUCCUUUCAAUUUAGAUCUGGAUUCGUUCCGGCUAUGAACUUCAUACCAGAGUUCUGCUUUAAGUGCUUCAGAUAUGGACAAGAUGAAAGAAGCUCUUAUAUCCUAUAAAGAGCAAAUUCACCUUUGGUGUAAAUGUUGGAGAAGUGUGAGGUAUGAUUUACUCUUUGAAGAAAACAUAAUGUGUUCUAAAGUGUUCAGGUUUGAAAUUCUCCAAAUGUUGAGCUCCUAGGAAUAUCCAUUUCAUGAGCAAGGAUACAAAACCAAUCCAUCCUUAUUCAGUUCAAAGUUUAAGGCUGGAGUAAGUAGUGGACAAGAACACGGAUGUGGACUGCAGACUGGCUGUUUUCAGAUCGCAGACCAGCCACUUACCCUUACGACCUUGGGCAAGCUUUUUUAAGUUCCUGAUGCCUCAUUUACAUAAGGGAGAUGAUUAUAACAGUAUCUGUUUUCAUAGGGUUGUUAUAAGCAUUAAAAACGUGUAGUUCUUAGAAGAGCACGGCUAAUCCACAAGAAGCACCAUGUAAAUUGUUGUUAUUACAUUAGUAUUAAAAAUAUUUCUGGGCUUAAUCUAUGAAUGCAAGUCCCUGUAUAUAAUAACUGACCUUCUCACUUAUUUUUCCUGGCAUGCAUUCUAAAGAUCAAGGUUUUAAAGAAAAAUGUUAUUUUGUCUUUUAUUUCCUAUCAAGACUUAGAGCUUGCAGAAAGCUAAAAAUAUUUUAUAAAUAUAGCCUGGCUGAGCAGCACUGCAAUGUGGUAAAAGGAACAGCACAGGGGACACCAAAGCCAUGCAUUAAAGUCCUGAUUCACAACUAAACUGUGAACUGCACUUUAGCAUUUAGGUUUUUACUCACUUGUAAAAUGAGAAGGUACCCACUGAAUUUCUAUUACUUCUUACAAAACUAAAAUUCUGAUUUUGUAACCUUUAACAUGAAUGUCAAACUUGUCAGAAAGGAAUUCAAUGAACUCUUACUUGCCAAAGGACCUUCUUGGAAUAGUCUUUCUUGAAAUUCUAGUUCUCCUAUGCUCUCAUACUACAAAAUUUAUCACCCUAUACUGUACAUAAUUUCAACCCUUCUAAAGCCAGGCAAUAAUAUAAUCCCAGUGUUAAAUGACCCAAAAAAAUGAGUAAUUAUUAAAAGCUUUUCUUACUGGCUUCACCUGGCCCAAAAAUGUUAGCAAUAUCUACAAGUAUUGUAUGCAAUGUUUGCAUAUUAAUCAAUACUGUAUCAUUCUCAUGACAGAUUUUUGGAGCUGAUAGAGAUCUCAGAGUAGUGCUUUUAAACCUGGGGCAACUUUACCCUCCAGGAGACAUUUGGCAACAUCUGGAGUCAUUUUUGGUUAUCACAACUUGAGGAGUACACUGACAUCCAGGGGGUAGAAGCCAGAGAUGCUGCUAAACAGCCUCCAAUGCACAGGACAGCCCCCACAACAAAGAAUUACCUGACCCAAAAUAUGAAAGGAGAAAGAAAGAAAGAGAGAGAGAGAGAGAAAGACAGAGAAAGAAAGAAAGAAAGAAAGAAAGAAAGAAAGAAAGAAAGAAAGAAAGAAAGAAAGAAAGAAAGAAAGAAAGAAAGAAAGAGAAAGAAAGAAAAAGGUGCUGAGGUUAAGAAACCUGCCUUAGAGCAAUGAUUUUUCAUGGGAUGCAGUACUGCCCCCUAGUGUGAGAUUCAGAAAUCUGGUUGUCAGGGCUGGUGUGGGGAGAGCUGCCAGCAAGAGUAGGCAGGAGUUCAGUCGGGAGGUACACCAUGCAAUGUGCACGACCUUUUUUUAAUGAAGUACGGCACCACAUCCUACUUAACUCUCAAAUGUCCUACAAAUCACAUAGGUAAUAAAUGUCUUUAUGAUGAGCUAAGCUUACGACCCAAAUCCAUUUUACAUAAAAACACAAGUAUUUUUUACAUGGUUUAAAACCCCUUAUGUUUAGAAAUGAAGUUACUACAUGAAUCAAGAAAGACAAUAUUUAGUUUUAUUUGAAAUUUUGCCAAGAAUUGCUCAUCAUUUUGGAAAAAUCACAUCACCAACAACAAUGCCAAUGGUGGUACAGUAGUCUUCCCUGAUCCUCGGGGCAUAUCUUCCAACACUCCCAGUAAAUGCUUAAAACUGUGGAUAGUGCUGAAUCCUAUAUAUGCUAUGUUCUUUUAAAAUUUGAUAACCCAGAUGGCUAACAGGUGAGGUGGGUAGCAUAUGUAAUGUGGAUACAGUGGACAAAGAAAUAAUUCACAUCCUGGGUUGGAUGGAGCAGGGGGCACACGUUUUCAUCAUGCUAUUCAGAAUGGUGUACAAUUAAAAAC